UGGUAGUAAGGAGGAGUAUACUACUGAAGGAUGUGAGGUGGUAGUAAGGCUGGUAGUAAGGAGGAGUAUACUACUGAAGGAUGUGAGGUGGUAGUAAGGCUGGUAGUAAGGAGGAGUAUACUACUGAAGGAGGUGAGGUGGUAGUAAGGCUGGUAGUAAGGAGUAGUAUACUACUGAAGGAUGUGAGGUGGUAGUAAGGCUGGUAGUAAGGAGGAGUAUACUACUGAAGGAGGUGAGGUGGUAGUAAGGCUGGUAGUAAGGAGGAGUAUACUACUGAAGGAUGUGAGGUGGUAGUAAGGCUGGUAGUAAGGAGGAGUAUACUACUGAAGCAUGUGAGGUGGUAGUAAGGAGGAGUAUACUACUGAAGGAUGUGAGGUGGUAGUAAGGCUGGUAGUAAGGAGGAGUAUACUACUGAAGGAUGUGAGGUGGUAGUAAGGCUGGUAGUAAGGAGGAGUAUACUACUGAAGGAUGUGAGGUGGUAGUAAGGCUGGUAGUAAGGAGGAGUAUACUACUGAAGGAUGUGAGGUGGUAGUAAGGAGGAGUAUACUACUGAAGGAUGUGAGGUGGUAGUAAGGAGGAGUAUACUACUGAAGGAUGUGAGGUGGUAGUAAGGCUGGUAGUAAGGAGGAGUAUACUACUGAAGGAGGUGAGGUGGUAGUAAGGCUGGUAGUAAGGAGGAGUAUACUACUGAAGGAGGUGAGGUGGUAGUAAGGCUGGUAGUAAGGAGGAGUAUACUACUGAAGCAUGUGAGGUGGUAGUAAGGCUGGUAGUAAGGAGGAGUAUACUACUGAAGGAUGUGAGGUGGUAGUAAGGAGGAGUAUACUACUGAAGGAUGUGAGGUGGUAGUAAGGAGGAGUAUACUACUGAAGGAUGUGAGGUGGUAGUAAGGCUGGUAGUAAGGAGGAGUAUACUACUGAAGGAUGUGAGGUGGUAGUAAGGCUGGUAGUAAGGAGGAGUAUACUACUGAAGCAUGUGAGGUGGUAGUAAGGAGGAGUAUACUACUGAAGGAGGUGAGGUGGUAGUAAGGCUGGUAGUAAGGAGUAGUAUACUACUGAAGGAUGUGAGGUGGUAGUAAGGAGGAGUAUACUACUGAAGGAGGUGAGGUGGUAGUAAGGAGGAGUAUACUACUGAAGGAGGUGAGGUGGUAGUAAGGAGGAGUAUACUACUGAAGGAGGUGAGGUGGUAGUAAGGAGGAGUAUACUACUGAAGGAUGUGAGGUGGUAGUAAGGCUGGUAGUAAGGAGGAGUAUACUACUGAAGGAUGUGAGGUGGUAGUAAGGAGGAGUAUACUACUGAAGGAGGUGAGGUGGUAGUAAGGAGGAGUAUACUACUGAAGGAGGUGAGGUGGUAGUAAGGCUGGUAGUAAGGAGGAGUAUACUACUGAAGGAUGUGAGGUGGUAGUAAGGAGGAGUAUACUACUGAAGGAGGUGAGGUGGUAGUAAGGCUGGUAGUAAGGAGGAGUAUACUACUGAAGGAGGUGAGGUGGUAGUAAGGCUGGUAGUAAGGAGGAGUAUACUACUGAAGGAUGUGAGGUGGUAGUAAGGAGGAGUAUACUACUGAAGGAUGUGAGGUGGUAGUAAGGAGGAGUAUACUACUGAAGGAUGUGAGGUGGUAGU